UACGUAGGGUGCAAGCGUUAAUCGGAAUUACUGGGCGUAAAGCGUGCGUAGGCGGCUAUGUAAGACAGAUGUGAAAUCCCUGGGCUUAACCUAGGAACUGCAUUUGUGACUGCAUUGCUAGAGUGUGGUAGAGGGAGAUGGAAUUCCGCAUGUAGCAGUGAAAUGCGUAGAUAUGCGGAGGAGCACCAAUGGCGAAGGCAAUCUCCUGGACCUGCACUGACGCUCAUGCACGAAAGCGUGGGGAGCAAACAGG
rnacentral:rRNA from 1 species